CCAGACUCCUACGGGAGGCAGCAGUGAGGAAUAUUGGUCAAUGGGCGCGAGCCUGAACCAGCCAAGUCGCGUGAGGGAGGACGGCCCUACGGGUUGUAAACCUCUUUUGCCGGGGAGCAACGGGCGUCACGUGUGGCGCCACUGAGAGUACCCGGAGAAAAAGCAUCGGCUAACUCCGUGCCAGCAGCCGCGGUAAUACGGAGGAUGCGAGCGUUAUCCGGAUUUAUUGGGUUUAAAGGGUGCGUAGGCGGGGUCGUUAGUGAGGGGUGAAAUGGGGGGGCCCCACCCCCUCCCCGCCAUUGAAACUGGCGCUCUUGAGUGGAAGAGAAGUAUGCGGAAUGCGUGGUGUAGCGGUGAAAUGCAUAGAUAUCGCGCAGAACCCCGAUUGCGAAGGCAGCGUGCCGUGCCGCCACUGACGCUGAGGCACGAAAGCGCGGGGAUCGAACAGGAUUAGAUACCCGUGUAC
rnacentral:rRNA from 1 species